rnacentral:rRNA from 1 species
UCCACGCCGUAAACGAUGACAACUAGCCGUCGGGACCCUUGAGGUUUUGGUGGCGAAGCUAACGCGAUAAGUUGUCCGCCUGGGGAGUACGGCCGCAAGGCUAAAACUCAAAUGAAUUGACGGGGGCCCGCACAAGCGGUGGAGCAUGUUGUUUAAUUCGAUGCAACGCGAAGAACCUUACCACCCCUUGACAUCCUCAGAACUUGUUAGAAAUAACUUGGUGCCUUCGGGAACUGAGUGACAGGUGCUGCAUGGCUGUCGUCAGCUCGUGUCGUGAGAUGGUUGGGUUAAGUCCCGUAACGAGCGCAACCCUUACCCUUAUUUGCCAGCGAGUAAUGUCGGGAACUCGUAAGGGG